CGGGAACGGCACCGGACGGGGCGGGGCGGCUGGAGAGGGGACAGGCAUGGCAGUUCCAGGCUACGGGCACGGUUGGCACAGGGGACCGGGGACCAGGCCAGCACAAGGGACAGGCCCCGCUGAGGCUCCGGGGGCGGCUGCGCUCCAGCCGGCGCGCGGACAGGAGCCGGCGCAGGGACGAGGUGGAGCUCAGGUCCCCACAGCUCUGCAGGUGGAUUCCUUCGUGGGGCCGCUCCGCGCCCGGCCAGGCACUCCAGGGAACCUGCAAACCCAUGGGGAUGGGCUGGAGCCGUGGGACUGACACCCCUGCCUGUGGCACCCUCUCGUGCUCACCUCCCCCCCGAGCUCGCAGCCCCCACGCUCUGGUUCAGCUGGACGGCACACAGGGCAGGAGGGCAGAGGUGACAGGGAUGGCAGAGGCGGGCAUCACACGCCCAAGGUGGCAUUUGGGACAGGCUCGUUCCCGUCAGGGCCUCCCGGGCUGCGCAAGGUGUCAAACCUCCCGUAAGCCGAGUUGUCAGAAUGUGCCUCUGGGUGCGGUGACUCAGGAGCAAAGACAAAGCCCUUGCGACAGGCACGAUUUUCCCACUCCUAACUCCGGUGGGGAUCAAGGGAAAGGAGCUGCUCCCCAAGAAGGGCUGGGAAAGGGCAGUGCCGUGGGAAGGAGGCUCUGCCUGCAGCUGAAGUGCUGACAGCGGUGGCAGCUUGGUCUUGCCCACCGAGCCGGCCCGGAGCAGCGGCGGGGAGUCACAGUGGGAACGGCGGAGCAGGCAGGCCUCGGAGCACAGCCCUGCGGGGACGCCACUGUCAGAGCCAGGACACUGCUCCUGAAUGACCCAUCCCUGUCCUCAGACCCGGGACACUGCCCUGAUGGACCUGUCUCCAUCCUCAGACCCCAGGACACUGCUCUGACAGACCCAUCCCUGUCCCCAGACCCAGGACACUGCUCCUGGCAGACCUGUCCCCACAGCCCCCGGGGUCAUGGUGUCUCCCCUCGCCAGCCAGUGGGAGCAGUCCCACCACAAGUCUUCAUUGCUCCAGCCCCAGCAGGAUGGGCCUGAUCCCCAAAGGGCUGCAGAAAUGCUCCCCCCACCCCUGUGUCUAUCCCAUUACAUCCCAGUGCCCUGACCUGUAUCGGCGGAGGAGUCAGACACGGUGUCCUCCAGUGCUUUGGUAUAAAGUACUUCCCUGAAAUCUGCUGGGAGCAGAGAGAGCCCUCAGGCUUCGGCAGCUGUGCGGACCCCAAGCUGCACGACCCCUUCCCCAGCACCCUCCCGCUGCCCCCAUUCCUCCCCACCCGCCUCAGCCUGGCUCCAAUCCCACGGGGCCGCGGAGAAACGCAGCCAAACCCUGCGGCACAUCCCGGGGCUGCCCCGAACAGACCCUGCCACACGCACCUUGGUCAUUGCCACCUACCAGCAUGGCCGGCCAGAGGGACGCCGGGGUCGCUGUGGGACCUCAGCAGCGGGCACGGGGCCAGCCCCGGGGCGGGGGACGAGGGGCACGAGGUCUCGCUGUUGCGCCGGGGGUGGCCCGGGCGCCCGGCGCCGGGGUCCGUGGGGCGGCCGCCCCCCCGCCCCUGCAGCGAGCCCUUGUCCUUGAGCCGCACCUCGGGGAAGCAGGGCCCGGCGCAGCGCGCCAGCCCCGCCAGCCGGUUGCAGCUGUGGGUGACGGCUCCCCCCACCAGGACGCCGUCGUGGCCGGGCUCCGCCGUGGAGCAGGAGUAGGAGCGCUCGCCCCGCGCGCGGGGCUGGGGGGUCUCCUCGAAGGGGCCCUGCAGGCCCAGCGUGGGGCUGCGGGCGUGGUGGCUGCACUGCACGCAGUCCACGCUCAGGCAGUAAUCGGCGCGGCUGCGCUGGAUGGAGCGGAACAGCACGUAGUCGACGGAGCGCAUGGAGCCCUGCAGCUCCAGCAGGCACGAGUCCUCCGAGGGGCUGCUGUCCCCGGGGAUGUCCAUGAUCUCGGACAUGAUCAGGGAGCCGCUGUCCAUGGACACUGUGAGGAGCGGAGGAGCACCAGUGAAGGGCUGCAGGGAAGGGCCGGUCCCCCCGCGGCCCCCCGUGCCCGUGGGGAACACUCACCUUCUCCGCUGAGCACAAUGGAGGGGACGCGGUCGCAGGUGCAGGCGUGUGAACCCUCUGUCAGCUGCGAGUCGUACAGGGUGGCCUGUGGGGCAACACGCUCAGGGCUCAGCCAAGCAGAGCCCACCCUGCCUGGCCUCCCCUGCCCACAGCCCCCCGGGCCCCCACCUGGCUGUCCCCCCGCAGCCCCAUGACGGUCUCGUAGGAUGGAGGGAAGUCAGUCGGGUAGAGGGGCACGGGGCUGUCCAUGGAGCCAUUGUAGGUGAUGCUGCAGAGGCAAGAGCAGCAAUGACACGUCUGGUGGGACAAGCCCUGCCUGGGGGCACACAGACACACACACACACCCCCCCUCCACCGGCCUCGCCCCCAGGUGGUACCUCUGUGCGUCUGUCUCGGAGCUGCAAGUGUACUCAGGUGGGUAGUAGGGGGGUGGUGGCACUGGGGGCACGAACUCCUCGAAGUCCAUCAUGCUCUGCAGGAAGGUGUCAGGGGGGGACGUGCAUUCCAGCGUCACAGAGCUCGAGCGCUGCGGGACCAGCUGCAGGGAGAAGGGAGAGCUGGAACUCCCCUGCCCAGAGGUCCAGCAAGGGAUGCACAUUCUGGGCUUUAAUCUGCGAAUGGGGCCAAGUCCUGUCCUGGCACUCCGGGUUCCCCCCAGCCUGGGAGCACUGCUCCCCAGCCCCGUCUGUUCCCAGGCCAGGGCUGGGACUCACCACAUGGACGAUGUCGAGGGAGAAGAUGCGGAUGCAGCAGACGACAGCAGAGAGUGUGCAGAUGACGGUGGAGAAGACGGUCAAGCCGCAGACACUGAAGAGGAGGUCCUGGGGAGCAGUGGGGUGAGCUGCAGAGGCCACAGAGCACAGUGGGGUGCACAGCCGCUGCCCUUGUCCCCCCCUGGACCCCCACCUUGAGCGCCACGCGGAUGCUUCGGCAGUUGGGGUUGGGGAACAUGGUCAGCAUCUCGCUCUGUUGGCUGCAGGAGGCGGGCGGGGGCUCCGAGCGGGCCUGGCAGCAGACACACGAGUCCCUCUCCUGGCGACAAGGAACACCAUGAGGGACCUCCCGCGAGAGCCACCGGCACGUCCCGCCGCCAGACCCCGGCUCUGCAGCUCCCCCUGUCCCCAAGCCCUGCAGCAAGGGACGAGCUGAGAGCGGAGGCCCGGGGGGCUCCGGGGCUGCCCCCGCUCAGCCUCACCCUCUCGCAGGCCUCCAGGGACUUCACCAGCUGCGCGUUCUGGCAGGACAGGAUGGAGCCAGCCAGGCUCAGCAUGACGCCCAGCACCGACAGCAGCGUGAAGAAGGCGAUCUGCAGCGGGAGGAGAGGGGCUGCCGGCCACGCAGGGCUGCGGAGCAGGGAGCCGACACACACGGCUGCAGGGGCACGAGGGGCUGCUCGGCCUCCCCAUCCUGGACUUCCCCACAUGCGGAGGGGGUGUCGUCCCCCCCCAACACCUACCACCAGGGUGAACGGCCGCUUCCAGGAGACGAUGCCGACGAGCCCGGACAGCGCCAGCUGCAGACGCACAAACCCCAGGGUGAGGGUAGGGAGGGGUCUCUGCCAGGCAAUGGGGCCCCGAGCAGCCCCUGCCCACGGGCAGAGCCCCCCCGAUCCCUGGGGGGCCCGUAGCCAGCCCAGGAGCAGCAGGGCUGGAGGGCCAGCCGUGGGAGAAGCAAGCUGGGAGAAACUGCUGAUUCAGGGCCUGGGGGCUGCGGGCAGCUCCGAACUGGGCAGCAAACCCGGGCCACGAUCCGAGCUGCAGGGUCACCGCGGGGGACCCCGGGUCCUGCCCUCCCCCAGUACACAGCAUGUAGAGCAGAGGCCCCCUCGCUGUCCGGCCCCUGCCCUGUCACCACUGUGCUGCCCCUCCUUGCAAACCUCAACGUGUUCCUCGACAGCCCCUGCUCGGGGGUCCCCAUCCCUCACAGAGUGACCCUGGGGGACACCUUGGGAUUCUCCCACAAUGCACCGCGGCAGCCACGGGCAGAGGGUGGGGGAGCAGCGGGGCUGCUCUCCCCUGGGACCGGCGGCAAGCUCGGCCCCCGGGGAGCCGUGCGGCCCCCUCCCCGCACCGCGCCGGCCCCGCACUCACCGAGAAGCCGGCCCAGGAGGGGCAGGAGUGCCGGAUCUUGGUGGAGGGCGUGAUGGUGGCCGCCACCAGGCUGAAGGUGACGAUGAGGACGCCCAGGAUGGCUUGGAUGAGGCCCAGGACCAGCAGGACCUGCAGCCAGGUGCGCUGGAGCCGGAGUGGUCUCAGAGAUCUGAACCACGCAAACAAGUGCAGCACUGUCAGGGGCUGUAGAGGAAGACAAAAGCCACCCAAAUUCAGCCUCCCUGGCACUCGCUUCAGGUCAAGUGUGGCUAUGGGAAGAAGUGCCCCAACGCACCUUUUUCAGCAUAAUGAUGCCCAGCACAGCCACUGCCGUGAAGGACAAGGCCACCAGGAUCAUCAUCACCGCCACAGCCGUGUUUGUCCGCAGCGCUAUCAGGCUCAGGAUCCAGCCACUGCAAAAACAAGAGCCUGUUAUUGCCCCCAGAGUUCCCUCUUCCCCACCCUCCUCCCGCCUUGCCAGGGUCCUGGGCCAGCCUGGGGUCAGCACACAGCUCACCUGAAUCCCCAGUUUGGGAUGCCAAUGGCCUGCAGCACGUACAUCACAUUCUGGGCAAAGAACACGAAGAAGAAGACAAAGAAGUUGAAGGAACUGUCGCUCCUGGGAGGAAGAGACAUGCAAAGUUAGGCUGCAGGAAAAGAGCUCUUAAAAAUUCCUUAGAGCAGGGGGACAGCGUGGAAACCCCACAUCCCGCAGAGCCAGAGGCCCCAGGGAGCUGCAGCAGGUACCCCCAGCUCGGGCACACACCUGAAAGCUUUGUACAUGGGCCGGUACCAGCAGACAAAGGAACAGGGCGUGUAGAGCAGAGCCCAGAGGAUGGAGAGGCCAAACCCGGACCCGGACGAGGGAUCCACGCAGAACCAGGCCAGCGAGGACAGGAAGUUCAGGAAGAGGGUAAUGGUGCUGGCUGAGGGACAGGACAGCGCUCAGGAGCCUGUGGGGCUCACCUCACCCCACCCCAGACCAGGCACCACCCGCUCAUCCCAAUUUUCCCCAGAGCAACAGCACAGGACACUCAUUCCCCUGCUCCCUCCCUGGGUCUGUCCCGAGAUUCCCGGGCUGCACUCACCCAUCCAGAGGUAGUACAUGGUGGUAACGGUCUUCUGGAAGUCAGCAGGGAUCUCGACAGGGAUGUCCUGGUAGAAGCAGGGCUUCACGGGGCAGAAGGACGGCAGCGGGGGCCAGUUGUUGAGCCUCGCUGCGGAGGGAAGGGGGUGAGGAGGGGGGGCGGCUCCGAGGGGGCGGCCGCCCCUCCCCGGCCCCGCGGCCACACUCACUCUGUGACCCGCCGAGGGCCGCGUUCUGCAGCUCCCGCUCCCGCCGGUCCAGCUCCUCCGCUUUCCGGUUCAGCUCCUCCUGCCGCUUCAGCAGCUCCGCCGUGGCGGCGGCGGCCGAGGCCUGGGCAGGGGGGGACACAGACCCUGGGCUCCCGCCGCCGCCCCCCGGGUGCCCCCGGCCCGGCGGCGCCUCCCCCCGUACCUGCGAGCCGUAGGAGCCGUAGUUGCGGGGCUCGGUGGGACUCGCCUUCCGCGGGGGCUGCGCGGCCGCCGGGACCGGGGGCGGCGGGGCCACCGACGGCGUCUGGAACGGCGGCGGAGGCUGCGGGGGGAGAGGGGAGCGGUGAGGCUCCGGGAAAGCGCUCCGGUCCCCGAGAAUGGCCUCGGUCCACCGGGAAGGCCCCGGGCAGGCCCCGGUCCUCCCGAGCGCUCACCGCGUCGCUCUCGAAGGGGUUGUACCCGUCCAGCGCGGCUCCGGGACGCGGCUGCAGCGCCGCGGGGUCCUGGAAGGGGUUGUCGUCCGGGAGCACGGCGGGGCCGCCGCCGCCGCGCUGGGCCAUGGCGGGACCGGGGACCGGGGACGGGGAACCGGGACCGGGAGCGCGCGCG